rnacentral:lncRNA from 1 species
GUUCCAAAGAAGGCGAGAGGGCACAGAGUGGUAAGGCUGCCUCCCUUCAUAUCUGGGAAUCCUAGAGACUCCAAACCAUCAUGCCAGCUCACAUUCAGGCUUUACAAUUUUGUUAGAAUUUUCACCAACUUCUUUCUACCUAGGUGGAGCACAGAUUGCUUCUCUCAUGCUGUGCACCAAGGACGGCAGCAGCUGUGGAUCCUGUCUCUCCUUGGAAGGGCUCCUCACUUUCUGGCUUUUUGUUUGCUUGCCUGGAGAAGUAAGAUACUGUUGUCGCAGGAAUGCCAAAAUUUUCCGGAAGUGAAAAUUUUUGGAUUUUAGCUGUUUCAGUGCCAAGGUAACUCUGCACGUGGAAACUCCAAGAGGUUUCAGCCACUUCUUGAGUCCACAAGAAGAGGCUUAACAAGUAAGAGAAGCCCUGCACUAUAGUUUAUAUGCUAAGCAUUUGCACAUUCAUUAUCUUUUCAGACUGCUCUCUCUAGCAUGCUUCUAUGCAGACAAUUAUAAACCUUAUCCUCAUUUGACAGAUUAAAAAAGUAAGAGCCAAAGACUCAUUGAGAGUCACACAGUUAAUCAACAGACUAGAUUUACAGAAAAGCCCAUUUCUAUAUCACUGGACAUGAACAAUGUGAAAGCAGGGAGUGUCCAACUCUUCAUCAUUAUCCUUAGUUGCAGGAAAUAAGAGUAAUCAUCAUUUGAAUGAUUGAAUCUAUUUCAACUUUUGUUGUUAAAAUUGCUUCUAAAGUAUAGGAUAAGCUCAUUUUGCUGAUUUAAAAACUGAUGUUCUGAUCAUCAAGGAUUGAUCAAACCAAUUGAUACGUAGAUCAUUAAUUUUUAUUACAUAUUUUUAAAGUCCAAACCUGGAAUGAAUGAAAAAUAAAUGAAAUUAAAAAUGAACAUUUUCCCAAAGGAACUUAAACCUAAAACAUUUCCCCAGAGAAACUGAGAUUAAAUAGUAAUAUUCACUUGUUUUUUUUUUUUUUUUUGUCAUUUGCCUUAUUUUCCUCUCUGAGAAUGAAAAAAAAAUUAUUUGAGAGCUCUAGUUCAUGGGUCAUUUAUUUUCAUAGCAACAAGGCACCUUGUGACAUAUUAGCACUUGUCAGUUUCACAUAGCAUAACAUAUGGAGCAUGAAGAGACUGUAAAAAGGAAGUGACAACUUGCUGGUUCAAUCUGGAGGAGAUAUAGGACUAGUAAUAGCUUCUCGCUUGAAUCUUUUCCCAAACAAUUAUUAUAACACUAAUUUUAAAUCCUUGGCACCAUAAAUGAUAACAGUAACCAAAAUAAAUUUCUGUAGCUUAGUGAGUAGAAGUAUUUUUCUUAAUCUAAAUAUGAACAAAGGGGAAGAGUUCUUCCUCUGUAAGUGAAGAAUAGGUUACUUGAAGCCACACUGAGGAAAAUGUGUACUGUUCCUUAAACAAAAGUGCCCUUACAAAGGGGGAAUCUAAAAAAAUGGCAGUGGCAAUGCUAGCAUGGAGUCUGGAUUUUCAAAAAUCCCAAAUAAAAACAGAGAGCAAAACCCCACAGUGAAACUAAAUCACAUGGAUAGCAUGGAAAACAAAACAAAAUGACAAGGUAUGCCACACACUCCAAAAUAUAAAAAGAUGGGGAAGGAACACCAGUAGCCAGAAGACCAAGGCCAUCAAUGUGUGUGAGAACAGAGGAAAGCAACAGAGUGCCUAAAAGAUCAGAGAACAAGAGAGCUCCUGAGUAGCAAACUUCAUGGAGUGCCAAUCUGAGCACAGGAACUGAACAAGAAGGGCUUUGGCCCACUCUGGUGGUGGAGGACCAAUGUCUGAAAGGUCAGAGCCCUAAACUAAAUAGAAGGUUAAAAGGAAAGAUUUAAAAAUCUGAAGAAAUAAAGACAGAACCAUUGAAGAGAAAUUAACAAAUACAGGAAGUGCAAUUAUCAUAUAGAUUUAGGAUUCCUUGAAAAAGAAAAUCAAGGAAAUAAUGGAAAACAGUAGUGAAGUAAUGACCAACUUGGUAGCAAUGCCCAUCCCUAAUGCCCAGUUGUUUCUAAAAUACCAUUCCCAUUAACAGGUCUUCUUUGGCUGAUUCCAGGUCUGGAACUGAACUGUACAAGAGGAAUUUGGAACAUCUUAAUAUACCAAUAGCAAGAUAGCUAUGAAAGACUGUUACUAGAAUAUGACAAAAGAAUUUGAAGAAGCUUCAACUGACCAAAUAUAACAUAAUUUGAACUUCUAAUGAAGUUCAAGAAUUGGUAAGAAUUGCAGUAGAUAUAAACCUAUGGAAUAUUUCUACAUUCUUGAGUUUGUAAUAAUACUUUUUCAUUAAAAAAGGAAAUCUAAUUGUUUCCAUUCUGAGGAUGAAGUUAAAACCAAUUGAUUAGAUUAAAACAGUAGUUAUAAGGAAAUUACCAACAUUUAUUUUGACUUUUACAUUAUGAACUAUCCCAUUGGGUAAACAAAUAGUAGAUGAGAGGGAACAAUUCUUUAUUCAAUUAUUUGUUAUCUAACAAGUAAAAUAAAGUGAUAGAAUUAGCAUAUCACAAUUUUGCUACCCUUAAUGAAUUAAUGGUCAUAGACAUUGAGCAUCCAGGGAUGCUAACAUUAAAAACAGAAAUCAUUGAUUGCUUGACAAUGUUUAUUCAAGUCCAGAGAUUCCAUUCUUUAAUAUAUAUUUGGAGGAAUUGAAAUCAAUAUCUC